UACGAAGGGGGCUAGCGUUGGUCGGAAUCACUGGGCGUAAAGGGUGCGUAGGCGGGUCUUUAAGUCAGGGGUGAAAUCCUGGAGCUCAACUCCAGAACUGCCUUUGAUACUGAGGAUCUUGAGUUCGGGAGAGGUGAGUGGAACUGCGAGUGUAGAGGUGAAAUUCGUAGAUAUUCGCAAGAACACCAGUGGCGAAGGCGGCUCACUGGCCCGAUACUGACGCUGAGGCACGAAAGCGUGGGGAGCAAACAGG
rnacentral:rRNA from 1 species